rnacentral:rRNA from 1 species
UGGGGAAUAUUGCGCAAUGGGCGAAAGCCUGACGCAGCGACGCCGCGUGAGGGAUGAAGGUUUUCGGAUCGUAAACCUCUGUCUGAAGGGAAGAAACCGCACUGUGCUAAUCAGCAGUGCCUUGACGGUACCUUCAAAGGAAGCACCGGCUAACUCCGUGCCAGCAGCCGCGGUAAUACGGAGGGUGCAAGCGUUAAUCGGAAUUACUGGGCGUAAAGCGCACGUAGGCUGCUUUGUAAGUCAGGGGUGAAAUCCCACGGCUCAACCGUGGAACUGCCUUUGAUACUGCUUAGCUUGAAUCCGGGAGAGGGUGGCGGAAUUCCAGGUGUAGGAGUGAAAUCCGUAGAUAUCAGGAGGAACAUCAGUGGCGAAGGCGGCCACCUGGACCGGUAUUGACGCUGAGGUGCGAAAGCGUGGGGAGCAAACAGG